CACGUAGGGCGCAAGCGUUGUCCGGAAUUAUUGGGCGUAAAGAGCUCGUAGGCGGUCUGUUGCGUCCGCUGUGAAAACUCGGGGCUUAACCCCGAGCCUGCAGUGGAUACGGGCAGACUAGAGGUAGGUAGGGGAGAAUGGAAUUCCCGGUGUAGCGGUGAAAUGCGCAGAUAUCGGGAAGAACACCCGUGGCGAAAGCGGCUCUCUGGAACGGUACUGACGCUGAGACGCGAAAGCGUGGGGAGCGAACAGG
rnacentral:rRNA from 1 species